GCCCUCGUAGCUCAGGGGACAGAGCAGCGGACUUCUAAUCCGCCGGUCGGAGGUUCGAAUCCUUCCGAGGGUACCA
rnacentral:tRNA from 1 species